rnacentral:ncRNA from 2 species
CGUGACCACAAGGGGAGCGAAAGCUGAGAGGGAACAAAUUGUUCUUACCCUUCGAACCUGUUAGUUAAUUCUAGCGUAGGGAUGUGGUGAAUAGUUUAC